UCAACCUCGAGACGGAGGAGUGGGGUGUUCUACCUGGUCCAGAACAGGUCCAGAGGUUUGUGCAAGAGAACAAUGCUUACAAUUACUCAGAACUUGAGUUCCGGUUAUCAUUGGCUGAGUUGGACGGCUGCUUAGUUGUGGUUCAUAAUAUUCAUUACAAAUCUAUGGACUUGUGGUUUUUGACAGAUUUUGAGAAAGGUACCUGGGUUAAGAGAUACAGCAUGCCUUCACAUGUUGCUAGGCCUUAUAGGUAUCCUUUUCUGAUGUUAGAUGGUGGGGGAAUUUUCUUCAGUGGUUCGAAUGGUCGACAAGGUUUAUUUAGUGUUGGAGAGCAAGGAGAGGAAUUUGUGCGAAGUUAUGAUUCAAGAAGUGACACUUACUCUGAUGUGCUAAAACUGAAAGAUUCCAGAUCCAUUAGCAUUUGCACAGGAAGCCUGCUGAGUUUGUAGAGUAGCUGCCACUGAUGAGGCGAAUAAUGCAUCGUACUGGCUGUUCACCUUAUGUUCUAAAUGCGAACAGUUAGUGAGACAAUGUUCUGAUGCAUGCAUCGAUGAAAACACAAGUGUGCCUUCAGAGUAUAUUAUGUUCCAUCUCUGAUACAUUUUGCAUGAGAAGAUUUGCAGUUUUUUGUUCGUUCCAUUUAUAUGGCAUUUUCUGGAGUUUGGUCAAUGAGUUGGUAUAUUGAUAUGGUCAGUUUGUAAUAAAACAAGCUUUUGGAUGUGGUGUUUCAAAAUAUAAUACGCUGCUCCUAGUGCAACAUAUGAGUACAGGAAUGCACUCAUGUCAAUAAUAAUGCACAGUACCUUGUUCCUUAAAGGUGAUCUUACCCUUUGGUGCUUGUGUCACAUUUAUGUUGUCCUUGAAUGUUCAAUGCUACCUGGUGUGCAUUGGUGUCACUGAGUCACAUCUUCUGUUUCACUGUUAUCCUUCGAUCUCUUGGCUCCUUUCUUUUGUCACCAUUCUUUUACUGAUUUUUGUGCUUGUAGUUCAUCUUCUGCUCCGGUUUUGAAGGGACACAAAAUUAAUGGAGUCAUGAUUAAUCUGUUUGCUGAUCUAUGGGUGACUCAUAUCGAGUGAAUAUUCAACAAGAAGUCCCAUAAUCACUGGCUGUGGUAAUUUACAAGCUCUCCUCUCCGCUGCUUCCAUGUAAAAUGAAAUGAUGGCAAGGAGCUUUUCUGCGAUGAAGAGAGAACUCAGAACCCAACUCUGUAGGGCAAGGCUUGCUGUACAAAGAGCGUGAUUACCGCACGGAGAGUAUUUUCUGUCUUUUGUGUCUGGUGCUAGUUGGAUAAUUGGAUUUUAUAGAUUUUGGUCUUGUAACUGUAGGAUUCUCUCCCAUUUUUAGAUCUGUACUGAACUAUGUGGAUGCUCUUUAGAACACGUUCUUUGUUUUAUUUUGGUACUGCAGAAACUCGGAUAAUUUAUAAGAACCAGAUGGUUUCUUUUGGUAUACUAGUAACCAUGCACGUGCAAGGCACUUCUCACAUAAAAUUUAUCUUUAACAUCCAAUGGAAUUAAUGCCUACUAUAACUCUCUUCCUGAACGAAUAAGAUAAGCUGACUCUAAUCUGGCUUUUGCCUGUUGGUACCUAAAAUCACCAAUCAAUUUCUACAAAACUUGCUCUAUCUUGCAUCUUCAAAUUUAUAAUUUAUCUGGUCGAACUGGUUGGCCUCUUGGUGAAUGGAAGCUGGAAAUCCUUGCAUCUUAUUGUGUGCGACGGAGUAGGUUGUAGUCAAAAAAAAUUUGGCCACUAAUAGGCGCCGGCGCGCCGGCCCAAUUUUGGGCCGGUCAGCCCGCAGCCGUACGAUUUCUUUUGAUUCUAACAGUUCGAUGCACUCUGUCUUUGUCAAAACACACGCGUACGAAAAGAUUUCCUUCAUCGCGUCGCUCUCUUCCGUCUGGCCGGCCGCACAUGCUAUCUGGUUGCUACCCUCGCGGCCGUCCUCGUCGCCCUCGUUGGCCUUCAACCUCGCCGGCCGUCCUCAUCACCGGUUGUAGCAUCAAAUGGCGCUCCGGCGUCGCUCGCAGCCAAUAGCGGUUGUAGCAAAAAGCUAUGUCGAUUCCAGCAAAACAAAACAUGGUGGAAGCAAAAAAUUGGUCAUCUAUUCUGGCAAAAAACACAACACGGUGGAAGCAACUAAGAUGAGACACCGGUUCCAGCAAAAACCCAACACGGUGGAAGCAAAAUGAGACGCCGGAUCCAACAAAAUAAAGACGGUGAUAGCAAAACUUGGUCUGGUUCCAGCAAAAUCUGAAGACGGUAAUAGCAAAAAUUGGGGAUGAUUGCAACAAAAAUACAAACUGGUUCCAGCUGUGCUCGUUGCAAUUGCAGCAUCGCCAUCGGCCGUGGUCACCACGACGGAUCGUGGUCACCACCACCAUGGGAUGGCUCCCGCUGGUAGCAGCUUCGCCAUGGAUGGUUGCAGCUAGUCGUACAGAGGUCGCAACCAUCCCAUGGCGUCGCCGUGGCUCAGGUGCAAAACGGAUGCAGCUCCGUGCACCACCGGGUUGCAGCACAUCGCGGCACACCGUCGUCGUCGUAGCAAAAACGGUUGGCUGGCUGCAGCUUUUGUGUUGCCGGUUGCAGCUCAUCGCGGCAGCACUGUCGGCGCCGUAGCAAAACAGUUUGCCGGUUGCAGCUUUUUAUUUUGCCGGUUCCAGCUGCUGGCGCAACCAAUAGCAGCACCGGAGCUCGCCGGUUCCAGCGGACGAUGGGUGGACUGCAGCGGUGGUCCUAAGGGGCAGCGACGGCGUGGGCUCGCAGCAUCACUGGUGUGCCCGACCUUGCCUUGGGUACUGAUGGAAGAAGGGAGGCCAGAGGUAGAAGAAGAAAUUGGGGACGAAGAGAUACACAGGGUAAAGCCAGAUGUGGACGAGAGAGGAUAAGAGACGUGUGGAUGUGGUUCUUCUGGAGAAAAGGAGAAGCGGUGCGCUUGGGGGCCCACAACUACAUUGCGUGUGGUGUGUGACCGGCUGUUGUUUCGGCCGGUGCGCCGUCUCCGAACGUUUUCCAAAAAAUUUUGCGGGGCUGUAGGUUGUAGUCAAUUGAGGGCAUGCACAAUGGUGGCAUAUGGAUACAGAUGCCCCGUGACAAAAAGUAGUUUGAGGCACCUACAUUUAUUUUUUCUCCCCAAUGCAACCUACCACUAGUGGGCCUCAUUAAGAAAUAGAAAAUAAAGACUUUAAUACACAUGCAUCUCUACUUUUCACUCCAACCUUUUCAGCUUUUGACCCCGGACCACACUUUUUCUCUCCAAGCACCUGCCUCUUGAAGAGGAUUCCGCUUCCCUAUCCGAACCAUUUUACGUUAUAUCCGAUCCUACGUGGCAUGCGAGGCAUCACCCUGGGGCUAUGCAUUGUACAUGCCCUGAUGCCACUCAAAUGUAUAGUGCUUGGUAGAAGGUCAAAGGGUAUCUAUGAAAGGUGCAGGUGAAUGACGAUUAACAUAUAUUAGGAUAAUCGACGGCUUACCCGCAGUUCAUUAGUUACCUCAACUUCCCAAUCAUGCCUUCCAUUCCACAGUCAAGCAAAGGUUGUUGACCUGGUAUCUAUAGGCUUGAGGCUGAUCCAAAUUGCACGCAUUUGAUCUUGUGACAACAACAUCAGUGCUUACCUCGAAAGUCAUCUAAUGUCUUCAUGUUCAUUAUAUUUUGCAUCGUACUUGUUGGUCUGGAUGUAUAGAAGUAAAAACAUUAAUAGCUUAAUCCUGGAAUCUUAACACGUCGAUCCAAAACCCUCGGAAAGCUCCUUGCAAUGAACUAAUAUUUUUUUGACAUUUUCUCAAGGAAAAGAUAGCAAGGUUGGGCAAAAAUAUAUUAAAAAAAGUUAAGAAACGGUGAACAUAUACCUGCAGGUGAAAAGAAAAAAGAUGGAAUAAAAAAUAAAUAUGUAGUAAAAAUAUUCAUUGUUUAUUUAAAAAUGUUCAUCGGGUAUUUUAAAGCUGGUCAUCAUGUAUUUUUAAAAAAAUCAUUAACUAUUUUAAAAAAUGUUCGUCGUGUAUUUUUUAAAAAUCAUCCGUUAUUUAGACAAUGUUUGCUCCGUGUAUUUAUAAAAUAUUCAUCAUGUAUUGUUUAAAAAAUAUGUGAACAUUUUUAAAAAUGAACUAUUUCUUCAACUUCACGAACAUUUUGAAGUACGUGGACACUUAUUAAAAAUAAAAAAUUAUAAUUUGUGAAUACUGGUUAAAAAUACAUACCCAAUAAUUCACGAACACUGAUUAAAAGUAUAAUUUAUGGGGCGUGCGUCCGUCAUCUCUGUGGCCGUUGGAUCAGAUUUUAGUGAGAUGGCCAGAAACAACGUAUUACCUAGACUAGUUUUUACAAUUGAGUGGUUGUUGGGAUUUCUCCCACCGCAACAACUGAAGCGUUGCGGGAUCUGAAUCUGGAUCUCUUCGAGAGCAGCCACCACCCGUGCUCCUUCAAAGCACCCCCAAUGCGUCACCAUUGACGCCGGCAAGCACCCCCGUCGCGCCACCACCAAGUACCCUCGUUGUUUCAAUCCUGACGCCCGCGAGCACGCGCUCCGCCGUCGUGGUUGUCGGCCGCCUCCACCACCAUCCACCCUCUCUCCUCCUCCCUCUUCUCACCUUCAUCCAGACGAGGCGCUGGCAGCCGCGCCGCCGCCGAGCACCCCUGUUGCGCCACCGCUGACGCCGGCGAGCACGCGCUCCGCCGUCGCGGUCAUCGGCCGCCUCCACCAUCACCCACCCUCUCUCCUCCUCCCUCUUCUCGAUCGAUGGCGCCCGCUCCUGCUGCUACCAGGUGAUGAAGAAGACGACCUCCGCUCGACACCGACAACACAAGGCGUCGUCCACUUCAAGGCUUCGUCGACUUCUGCAACAUCAUCGUUGUUGCAAAAAAAAUCGCCCCAAGACCUCUGUUGCAAAAAAAAUAAAUUCACAACACAACCUCUGUUGGAAAAAAAUUCUGCAACACAACCUCUGUUGCACAAAAAUUCUGCAACACAAUCUCUGUUACAAAUAUUUCUGCAACAAGGUCUUUGUUGCAAAGUUGAGAAAAGAAGUUCACCCUGCUAGAUCUGUGUCAGAUCCGACGACUCGCGAGGCGGUGGAUCUUUUAAAAAGAUCCGCCGGCCGACGCGCAGCAGCCCCCUUUAUUUAUAUAGAAGAUUUAUAAAAAUAGGGAAAACAUGAAAAAAAAAUGUGAGAAGAAAAAUGAAAGAAAAAAGGGAAAGAGAAAACCUGCUCCCCCCAAACAAAAAUGAAAGAGAAAAGGGAAAGAAAAAUGUGCCGCUCCGGCUAGGCCUGGCCCAUACCGCGGCGAUGUAGGCGAGUCCGUGCUCCCCCCCAAGCCCUCGACCACUGCAGUGGCCGCUUUCCCCCCUCCGCCCUCCUCGUCCACGGCGCUCGCCCCGCCGCCAGGCUGCUCGCCGCCGUCGCUCUCGGUAAGGCCAAGUCCCCCUCGGCACAGACCCAUCUGAAUCCACCUUUUAUUUGGCGCCCUUCCUAGCUCACCCACGGCAUCUACUUACCACAGCCGACGGUGAUGUCGUCUUCGGAGCUGCGCCUGCGCCCCGCCACCCCCUUCUCCGGCGACCUUCCCGCGGACGAGCUGUGCGAGGUCCUCCUUCGCCUCCCGGCCAAGGAGCUCUGCCGCCUCCGCGCUGUCUGCCCCGCCUGGCGCGCCCUCACCUCCGACCCGCUCUUCAUCGCGGCGCACAAGUCCCGCCACCGCACGGCGCCCCCGCUCCUCGCCAUGGCCUACCGCGACGACAGUGGGGUCAACGGCGUUGAGAUUUCGGAUUUGUCCGGCAAUGUGGUGAAGCGGAUACCAGGCGCCGGGUAUGAAAUUGUUCUGGUGGACGGGUUGUCAGGGGUUGCCGGUGGGCGGAUGUCAAGCAAGGACGAUACCAUCCGUGUUGCGCGCACGCGGCUUGACCUUGUCUGUUUCAACUGGAGGUUCUGCUCUGGAGACUUCUGGGUGCUGAACCCGGCCACCGGAGAUACCAUCACCUUGCCGAUGGGCUUCUCGGAGGAAUUGGCGCAUGAGCUAGAGGUGGAGGGGAUAAAGGAAUGGUGCUGCGGAGUCGAGUGGUGUGCUUUUGGGCAGGUCUCCUCUACAAGAGAGUACAAGGCGCUCCGCGUUUCUGACAUUGGUGAUCGGAAGGUAUGUGAGGUUAUCACCUUUGAUGCCGCCAACCAUGGAAACUGGAGAAAGCAGAACCCUCCAUCGGCCCACAUCUUUGCCAGUCUCAAGAUGAGGUCAUUGAAAUGCGUGGUCGUCGAUGGGGUGGUGUACUUCUUACUGGACUUCUACUCCACGUAUCAUGAAACUGGAGUUAUGACCAUUGAACCUGGCAGUGUAGCUUUGUUCAACCUCGAAACAGAGGAGUGGGGUAUUCUGCGUGGUCCAGAACAGGUGCAGAGGUUUGUACAAGAGAAUGACAUUUCUGGUUACUUAGAACUUGAACUCCAGUUAUCAUUGGCUGAGUUGAACGGCUGCUUAGUUAUGGUUCAUAAUAUUUAUAAGGUAUCUAUGGACUUGUGGUUUUUGACAGAUUUUGACAAAGGUAUCUGGGUUAAGAAAUACAGCAUGCCUUCACAUGUUGCUAGGUUUGGCAAUCCUUUUCUGAUGUUAGAUGAUGGGAGAAUUUUCUUCAAUCGGUUGGAUUAUGGACUAGGUUUCUUUAGUGCUGGAGAGCAUGGUGAGGGAUUUCUGCAAAGUUAUGAUCCAACAAAUGACACUUCUGGUGAGGCACUAAAACUGAAAGAGUCCAAAUCCAUUGGCGUUUACACAGGAAGCCUGCUGAGUUUAUAGAGUAGCUGUCAGUAAUGAGGUGAAUAAUGCAUCGAACUGGCUGGUCACCUUAUGUUGUAUAUGUGAACAAUUAGUGAGAGAAUGUUCUGAUGCAUGCAUUGAUGAAAAUGUAAGUGUGCGUUCAAAGUAUGUUAUGUUAAUCUCUGAUGCAUUUUGCAUCAGAAGAUCUGCAGUUUUUUGUUCGUUUCAUUUUGUAUGGCAAUUUCAGGAGUUUGGUCAAUGAGUUGCUAUAUAUAUUGCUAUGGUCAGAUUGUAAUAAACAAGCUUUUGAAUGUGGUGUUUCAAAAUAUAAUACUCUGCUCCUUGUGCAACAUAUGAGUACAGGAAUGCAUGAUCUGUUCCUUUCUUGGAACAGAUAAUGAGUUGCUAGGUAAAGUCAUGCACAGUAACAGUUCCAUGAAAGUGAUCUUUACUCUUUCAUUCGCGUCUCACAUUUAUGUUGCCCUUGAAUCUUCAAUGCUACCUGGUGUUACUGAGUCGCAUCUUUUGUUUCUCUGUUCUUCUUCCGCCUCGUGGCUGCUUUCAUUUGCCACCAUUUUUUGUUACUGAAUUUUGUGCUUGUAGACCGCUCAAAGUUUUGAAGGGACAAAAAUUGAACGAACUCAUGAUGAAUCUGCUUGCUGCUCUUAGCUUGGGAACCCAGGACGCUGUGUUCUGUGGGCGGCUCACAUCGAUUGAACAAUCUCUGGCUAUGGCUAUGUACAGCCUCUUCUCCAUUGCUUCCGUGUAAAAUGCAGAGGAUGGCAGGGGAGCUCUUCCGCGCCAAGGAUGGCUUGCUGUGCAGAGAGUGUUCUGGUCUUUUGUCUGGGCGCUAGUUGGGUACUUGGAUUUUGCGGAUUUUGGUCUUGUGACUGAGAGACUCUUUCAUUUUUCAGAUCUGCACUUAUGUGGAUGUCUUUUAGAAUAUGUUGUCUAUUUUCCUUUGGUGAUGAAGUCGGGAAUAUAUAUAUUAUGUACUGAAGAAACUCAGAAUUUUUCUAAAGAACCAGUUAGUUGCUUUUAUUACACUAAAAUGCAGAGUAACCAUGCACGUGGAGUGCACUUCUCACAUAAAUUUACGUUUGACAUCAAUUUACAUAAAUUUACAUAAAGAGCUCUUGCGUACUAUGCUUCUUUCAGUGAACGAAUCAGAAUAGACUAGUUGACUAGUAUGAUCAAGCUCUUAAUUAUCUAAAAUGUCAUCACUCUGUUUCUCCAAAAAAACUUGUUUUAUCAUGCAUCUGCAAACACAUUCUCAAUUCUGAUCGUAUCAUGGGUGAGAAUUGGUGGCCUCCCGCUGAAUGGUGGCUCAAAAUCCUUGCAUAUUUAUUGGAUCCCAUGUACCACUCUGUUCCUAAAUAUAAGUCUUUUUACAGAUUCCAAUGCGGACUACAUACGGAGCGAAAUGAGUGAAUGUACACUCUAAAAUAUGUCUAUAUACAUCUGUAUGUAGUUUUUAUUGAAAUCUCUAAAAAGACUUAUAUUUAGGAACAGAAGAAUGGCUGCAGGACACGGGGAACGAUUGGCUCUUGAACAUUCUGGCGAACUGUGAUGAUUCGAUGCGUGAUUGCACAAUAAUGUUGAUCUGGAGAAUUUGGUCAUUGAGGUCAGACCUGGCUCACGGGAAGGAUAUUCCAUCCGUGGUGGCAACGGCUGAAUAUCUUCAGAGUUAUAUGAAGUCGAUACAUGUGAGCAGGAGGUUCACAACGGAGGAGAUUAUCAAGGGAAAGAUGCCAAUGGUUCAUGAUACGCCUGUCGAGCAGCGGGUUACGGCCCCUUCACUGCCAUGGCCGAACCCACCUGCGGACUGGGCUGCGCUAUCUGUCGACGGAGUGUUCUCACCUUCUGAUGGCUCGGCGGCGGCGGGAAUGAUACUGCGCAGGCAGGAUGGCAGCGUGAUAUUUGCUGCCUACCGUUGCAUCUUCAACUGCAAUGAUGCUUUGGAGGCGGAACUACAUGCGAUAAUGCAGGGCAUGGCACUCACUAUUCAGCACUGUUCCCUACCGAUCAUCGUUCAGUCUGAUUCUAUGGAGGCACUAGCAGCUAUGAAGGGGGAAAGUCUAAUCAGAUCGGCGUAUGGCCAUCUAGUAGCGGAGAUUCGGCAUCACAUGUUGGAGCGGGAGUUUAUUCCGUCUAAAAUUAAACAGGAACAAAAUAGGGUAGCACAUCGUUUGGCAUUGUAUAGCCGUACGGAGAGCACUACUGCUGUAUGGCUUGGUAGAGGUCCACCUUGUAUUGAGGAGUUGGUGCCUCUCGAUUGUAACCCUAUUCAUAUGGAAUAAAACUCUCUUAUCAUUGCAAAAAAAAAAAAUUAAUGCCAACCAAAUGUAUAACACCAAUCCGGGCACCUGUCAGUUCAAAUCUACGGUCUGCGCUUCGCCUUUGAGACGGCGCGAGAUGCAAGCCUGUGGCUCCUUGGGCGUGGAAUUUGUGCUAGUGCGGCAGCGAGGGCGGACGGUUGUGUGCUUGCAACCCAUCGUUGUGUUGGCGGUGGGUGAGGUUGGGUCCCCAGGGUCUUUGGAGCGGCCGCUCGGCCGGUGGGCACCGCGAUGCCACCGUGGCAGGUGCCGCCCUGCUGGUGCUGGUGUGUGUCUUGGCCGUUUGGACGGCGAGAUGGCUCACUUGGGAGGCGUCUAGCGUGCGGGUGUUGACUUCACAACCACCCCGUUCUGCUACGUGUGUCGUUCGCUUAUCUCAAUUGCUAGCUUUGCUUGUUGGACGUGGGUGGUGGGAGGUUGUCCCGAGCGAAAGCUCUGCUCGACUUUGUCGGUGCCGGUGACGACGAAGCUAGUGUGCGCCGUUUUCCCCCUUGUCGGCAUCACACGUGGGCUGUCCUCUGCUACCCGGGGCUCUGGGUAAAAACCCUUGGUCCGGAUUUUCCUGAACCGGACGGUGGCGAUGUUAUGGCGUCGUUCCCUCCUUAGAGGCUCCGUCUUGUGAGCAACUUCCAUGAUCUUGGUUAUCAGGUGGGCUUCAUGGACAACAGCAGCUUCUCCUCGUGUUGGCGAUUUCGUGCUAUUGAUGAUGGUGGUUCUCUCAAGGGGAGCUGGGUUCGACAAGGUUGUUUUGUUCGGAGGCCUACCUCGGGUCCUGGCAUCAGCUUUCCAUCUAGGCUCUGGGGUGAGCAUUCCAUCGUCCGACGGUGCAACGCCCUUUGAGCCUGGGUGAGGGAGCAGAUGGGCUCUCUUAGGCGAUGGAACUAAAUGGUGUUGUUGUGCCGGACGCCUAGGCGACGACAAUGACAUGGCCUCCGUUGAUGACUAGUCUUGCCCUCCUUCUCUGCGACGGUUCUCUGAUCACGUGCGAGGGCUCCAAUGACUUCCCUGUAUCUUGUGAGCUUUGUUGGUGGUCCUGAGCACCCUUGUUUCGUGCGGUUGUUUUUUUUUUUUCGAGUUGUAGAGCGUGGUGUUGUGUUGUGUCGGUUGUAAAGGCUUCAUUAAUUUAAAGUCGGGUGCCAGCCUUCUAUCCAAAAUAAAAUAAAACAAUGAUUGGUACAAGGUCAAGGGCAUCUAUAAAAGGUAAAUGGCAAUGAACAGCUAUGAUAAAUCGAUGGCUUACCUGAAGCUCGUUAGUUACUUCAACUUCGCAAGCAUGUAGAGCUGCAACAUAUGUUUAUCUCACAUACCCCAGUCAAACAAAAGUUUUUGACCUGGUAUGUGUAGGCUUGAGGCUGGAUACAAAUUGCAUGAUGAAUACAGAACGCUCCCACAUCUGAUCUUCUGACAACAAUGUCAAUGCUACCUCGAAAGUCACCUAAUGUCUUCUUAUUCAUUAUAUUCCAUCAUAUCUUUUGGUAUGGAUGUAAAAAAGGAAAAUUAUUAACACGUUAACCCCAUAUUCUUAGCACGUCGAUCCAAAAGCCUCGGAAUGUUCCUCGCAAUGAGCUACUACUAUUUUUGGCGGUAAUUCGCGUCUGAGCCCAGACUCAUCUGCACCUGAUGAACAAUAAAUUCGUAAAAAAAUAUUUUUAAAAACCUGAAUCGAAGAUGCUUGAGUGUGCCAGGAGCGUGCAAAUUUUCGGGGCGAAAUGACAUCCGAGGAGCUCUCGGCAAAAAAUAAAUCGGCUCCGAACAAUGUUCUUUUUCUUUUUGAAAGUUUCUCUGCAGCAAGGAGAACGCAACAUGCACCAAUUUCACCAAAAAAAAAUCUUCACCGUCUAAAAAAGGAAAAAAAUCUUUGUUCUCUCAAAAAAAAAUCUUCGGUAAAUAUAACGAGUUUUUUUAGGUAAAUAAAACGAGCACAGGAGUACAAUUCAUCGUAGGCCUUAAUUAUCUACCUGAAGCCUGAGGCCCAUUUUAGACCAGCCCACUCGUGGACCUUAGUAAUUAUCCACCUGAAGCCUGAACCCCGUACAAUUCCCCAAACCCUCGACCACUGUCCAGUGACUGCCGCCGGCCGCUUUCUCCUCCGCUCCUCGCGGACGCCCGGCUGCUCACCGCCAGCGCUCUCGGUAAGGCCAACCCCUUCUCAUCUCAACCCACCGUCGAUUUGGCGCCCCCGCUUGCUCACCCGCGGCAUCUAUUUACCACAGAGAUGUCGUCUUCGGAGCCGCCCCCAGGCCCCGCCGCCUCCAGCUCCGGCGACCUGCCCGCGGACGCGCUGUACGAGGUCCUCCUCUGCAUCCCGGCCAAGGAGCUCUGCCGCCUCCGCGCCGUCUGCCCGGCCUGGCGCGCCCUCACCUCCGACCCGCUCUUCGUCGCGGCGCACAAGUCCCGCCACCACAAGGCGCCCCCGCUCCUCGCCGUGGCCUACGACGACGACGGUAAUCACAACGGUGUCGAGAUUUUGGAUCUGUCGGGCAACGUGGUGAAGCGGAUUCCGAACACCGAGUACAAAGCUGUUCUGAUGCACGAUAGUAUCCGUGUUGUGCGCACGCGGCUGGACCUCAUCUGUUUGAGUUGGGUUGUCUGCUCUCGGGCCUUCUGGGUGCUGAAUCCCGCCACUGGAGCUACUAUCGCCUUGCCGUUGGGCUUCUCAGAGGAAUUGGAGCAUGAGCUAGAGGGAUUCAUUUGGGACUGCCAAGUUGAGUCCUGUGCUUUUGGGCAUGUCUCCUCUACCAGAGAGUACAAGGCGCUCCGUGUCUCUAGAAUUAAUCAUCACCAGCAGGUAAGUGAGGUUAUCACCUUUGAUGACACCAACCAUGGAUGCUGGAGGAGAAAGCAGGACCCUCCGUCCGAUAUCUGUACUGGUAAGAUGAAAUGUGUGGUCGUCGAUGGGGUGGUCUACUUCUUGAUGAAUUUUUACUGCACAUACUUUGAAACUGGGGUUAUAACCAUUGAGCGCGAAUUUUUACUGCACAUACUCGUUCAACCUUGAGACUGAGGAGUGGCGUGUUCUACCUGGUCCAGAACAGGUGCACAUGUUUGUGCAAGAGAACGAUGAUUACAGUUACUCACAACUUAACCUCGAGUUAUCAUUGGCUGAGUUGAACGGCUGCUUAGUUCUGGUUCAUAAUAUUCUUCACAAAUCUAUGGACUUGUGGUUUUUGCCAGAUUCUGAGAAAAGUAUCUGGGUUAAGAAAUACAACAUGCCUUCACAUGUUUCUAGGCUUUAUAGGUAUCCUUUUCAGAUGUUAGAUGAUGGGACAAUUUUCUUCAGUGGGUUGGAUGGUCUACAAGGUUUACUUGGUGAUGGAGAGCAAGGAGAGGGAUUUCUGCUAAGUUAUGAUCCAAGAAAUGGCACUUAUGGUUAUGCACUCAAACUGAGAGGUUCCAAAUCCAUUGGCAUUUACACAGGAAGCCUGCUGAGUUUAUAGAGUAGCUGUCAGUGAUGAGUUGAAUAAUGCUGGAUGUUUACCUUAUGUUGUGCAUGUGAACAAUUAGUGAGGCAUUGUACUGAUGCAUGGCAAUAAAAAAGUACUUUUGUGCCUUGAAAGUUUAUUAUGUUUAUCUCCGGUACAUUUUGCAUGAGAAGAUUUGCAGUUAUUUGUUCCAUUUUGUAUGGCAAUUUCAGGAGUUUGGUCAAUGACCAGUUUGUAACAAACAAGCUUUUCAAUGUGGUGUUUCAAAAUAUAAUACGCUGCUCUUUACCCUUUGA
rnacentral:lncRNA from 1 species